UCUCCGGCUCAGAUUAAUGCCAGUCGCA
rnacentral:piRNA from 1 species